UGGGAUGUAGCUCAGUGGUAGAGCACUUGCCUAGCAUGUGUGACACCUGGGAUCAACUCCCAGCACCACAA
rnacentral:tRNA from 1 species